rnacentral:rRNA from 1 species
UAGGGAAUAUUGGUCAAUGGGUGAGAGCCUGACCCAGCCAUGCCGCGUGCAGGAAGAAGGCCUUCUGGGUUGUAAACUGCUUUUGUCAGGGGAUAAAAUUUCCUUGCGUGGAAAAUUGAAGGUACCUGGUGAAUAAGCCACGGCUAACUACGUGCCAGCAGCCGCGGUAAUACGUAGGUGGCAAGCGUUGUCCGGAUUUAUUGGGUUUAAAGGGUGCGUAGGCGGCCGUGUAAGUCAGUGCUGAAAUAUUCCAGCUUAACUGGGAGGGUGGCAUUGAUACUGCGGGGCUAGAGUACAGAUGAGGUAGGCGGAAUUGACGGUGUAGCGGUGAAAUGCUUAGAUAUCGUCAAGAACACCUAUAGCGAAGGCAGCUUACUAGGCUGUAACUGACGCUGAGGCACGAAAGUGUGGGGAUCAAACAGGAUUAGAUACCCUGGUAGUCCACACUGUAAACGUUGAUUACUCGCUGUGUGCGAUAUACAGUACGCGGCCAAGCGAAAGCGCUAAGUA